rnacentral:rRNA from 1 species
UGGGGAAUAUUGGGCAAUGGGCGCAAGCCUGACCCAGCGACGCCGCGUGAGGGAUGAAGGUCUUCGGAUUGUAAACCUCUUUCAGUGGGGAAGAAGCGAAAGUGACGGUACCCAAAGAAGAAGCACCGGCUAACUAUGUGCCAGCAGCCGCGGUAAUACAUAGGGUGCAAGCGUUGUCCGGAAUUAUUGGGCGUAAAGAGCUCGUAGGUGGUUUAUCACGUCGGAUGUGAAAUUCUGAGGCUCAACCUCGGACCUGCAUUCGAUACGGGCAAACUAGAGUGUGGUAGGGGAGACUGGAAUUCCUGGUGUAGCGGUGGAAUGCGCAGAUAUCAGGAGGAACACCAAUGGCGAAGGCAGGUCUCUGGGCCAUUACUGACACUGAGGAGCGAAAGCGCGGGGAGCGAACAGG